rnacentral:rRNA from 1 species
GACGAACGCUGGCGGCGUGCUUAACACAUGCAAGUCGAACGGAAAGGCCCUUCGGGGUGCUCGAGUGGCGAACGGGUGAGUAACACGUGGGAGAUCUGCCCUGCACUUUGGGAUAAGCCUGGGCAACUGGGUCUAAUACCGAAUAGGACCACGCGCUUCAUGGUGUGGGGUGGAAAGCUUUUGCGGAGUGGGAUGGGCCCGCGGCCUAUCACCUUGUUGGUGGGGUAAUGGCCUACCAAGGCGACGACGGGGAGCCGGCCUGAGAGGGUGACCGGCCACACUGGGACUGAGAUACGGCCCAGACUCCUACGGGAGGCAGCAGUGGGGAAUAGUGCACAAUGGGCGCAAGCCUGAUGCAGCGACGCCGCGUGGGGGAUGACGGCCUUCGGGUUGUAAACCUCUUUCAACAGGGACGAAGCGGAAGUGACGGUACCUAUAGAAGAAGCACCGGCCAACUACGUG